CCUACGGGAGGCAGCAGUGAGGAAUAUUGGUCAAUGGACGAGAGUCUGAACCAGCCAAGUAGCGUGAAGGAUGACUGCCCUAUGGGUUGUAAACUUCUUUUAUAAAGGAAUAAAACGAGGCACGUGUGCCUUUUUGCAUGUACUUUAUGAAUAAGGAUCGGCUAACUCCGUGCCAGCAGCCGCGGUAAUACGGAGGAUCCGAGCGUUAUCCGGAUUGAUUGGGUUUAAAGGGAGCGUAGAUGGGUUGUUAAGUCAGUUGUGAAAGUUUGCGGCCCAACCGUAAAAUUGCAAGUGAUACUGGCAGUCUUGAGUACAGUUGAGGUAGGCGGAAUUCGUGGUGUAGCGGUGAAAUGCUUAGAUAUCACGAAGAACCCCGAUUGCGAAGGCAGCUUACUAAACUGUGACUGACAUUGAUGCUCGAAAGUGUGGGUAUCAAACAGGAUUAGAUACCCUGGUAGUC
rnacentral:rRNA from 1 species